rnacentral:tRNA from 1 species
GGGGGAGUGAUCUAGCGGUUAUGAGGUCGGUCUCCAAAACCGACAACCCGGGUUCGAGUCCCGGCUCCCCCG